rnacentral:rRNA from 1 species
GAUGAACGCUAGCGGCAGGCCUAAUACAUGCAAGACGAACGGUAAGUUGAGUAGCAAUACUUAGCCAAGAGUGUCGUACGGGUGCGUAACACGUAUGCAACCUACCCUAUACAGGAGGAUAGCCUAGGGAAACCUGGAUUAACCCUUCAUAGUAUUAUUGGAUGGCAUCAUUUGAUAAUUAAAACUGAGGUGGUAUAGGAUGGGCAUGCGUCUGAUUAGUUAGUUGGCGGGGUAAUGGCCCACCAAGACGAUGAUCAGUAGGGGUUCUGAGAGGAAGAUCCCCCACACUGGCACUGAGAUACGGGCCAGACUCCUACGGGAGGCAGCAGUAGGGAAUAUUGGUCAAUGGAUGCAAGUCUGAACCAGCCAUGCCGCGUGCAGGAAGAAGGCCUUCUGGGUUGUAAACUGCUUUUGCCAGGGGAUAAAAAUUUCCAUGCGUGGAAAACUGAAGGUACCUGGUGAAUAAGCCACGGCUAACUACGUGCCAGCAGCCGCGGUAAU